UACGUAGGGUGCAAGCGUUAAUCGGAUUUACUGGGCGUAAAGCGUGCGCAGGCGGUGAUGUAAGACAGGUGUGAAAUCCCCGGGCUUAACCUGGGAACUGCAUUUGUGACUGCAUCGCUGGAGUGCGGCAGAGGGGGAUGGAAUUCCGCGUGUAGCAGUGAAAUGCGUAGAUAUGCGGAGGAACACCGAUGGCGAAGGCAAUCCCCUGGGCCUGCACUGACGCUCAUGCACGAAAGCGUGGGGAGCAAACAGG
rnacentral:rRNA from 1 species